rnacentral:rRNA from 1 species
UACGGAGGAUGCGAGCGUUAUCCGGAUUCACUGGGUUUAAAGGGUGAGUAGGCGGGUUAGUAAGUCAGUGGUGAAAGUCUGUCGCUUAACGAUAGGAUUGCCAUUGAUACUGCUGAUCUUGAAUUCAGUUGAGGCAGGCGGAAUGUGCAGUGUAGCGGUGAAAUGCUUAGAUAUUGCACAGAACACCAAUUGCGAAGGCAGCUUGCUAAACUGAUAUUGACGCUGAGUCACGAAAGCGUGGGGAU